rnacentral:rRNA from 1 species
AGCGUAGACGGAAUGGCAAGUCUGAUGUGAAAGGCCGGGGCUCAACCCCCGGGACUGCAUUGGAAACUGUCAAUCUAGAGUACCGGAGGGGUAAGUGGAAUUCCUAGUGUAGCGGUGAAAUGCGUAGAUAUUAGGAGGAACACCAGUGGCGAAGGCGGCUUACUGGACGGUAACUGACGUUGAGGCUCGAAAGCGUGGGGAGCAAACA